rnacentral:lncRNA from 1 species
GGGAUACGAUUGCCAUAGUUUUCAUUGACACAUGUAUAGCAGUUCUGCAAACUUUUCAUUAAGCAAAUGCGUGAGAUUUGGCCAAAAUUGAAAAGAUCAAAGCGGAAAAAAAUAGAUCCAAGGAUACUGCCGCAAAAAAGCAUGAACAUGCGUGAGUCUCACGCAUUUUUGGCAGCCCUGGUACAGCUGGAUAGUAUUAUUAUCAAAACUAAUUCGAUUGCA